UGGAGCCACUGUGCUAUCUGCUAAUCACGGGAUGGUCUGUCUAAUCAUUGACUUUGCAUGGUAGACGACCCUGAGGCCUAUAAGAACUCACUCCAAACAAACAGAGCCUGUCUUUUCUCUUCAGUUCUUUGGUACAGCAAACAGGAGCAUAAGAAAUCAGCCCAACAAGCAUGGCUUUCCCAGAUGACGCACUUGUGGAAGAAUGACGUUGGAAUCAUCUGUGUUUUCACUAUCUGUGGCCUGUAGCCCAUGUCAAUAGUGCUGGAGAGAGGGAGUGGGACAAUGGGACUGAGCUGGUGCAAGACGUCCAGCCCGUGCUCUCAGGCCGGGCCGUUUGCUGACCGCUGCUGUGAUGUCUGCUGCCAGCUAUGUCUGGACGGCUUCUGUGGAGCGUGUGCCCGUGACUGCCGCUACACCUUCUGGUACAUGUGCACAAGGCUGGCUAACUACUGCCUGGCCUUCACCAGCUCGGAACAGCCUCAGAGAGCCCGCUGCACAGAAAAUGCUUUUCUGAAUGGAGGACAGGUGGUUUAGAUGGCUGAGGACAUGACGAGCUGAAAGCUUCGGUAUUUCUGGGAGCUGUCGGACCAGAUGGAUGAGCAUCUCUCACCUCCCUCAGUUGCCACUGGUUGCAGCACUGUGUGACCGCAUUGGGUUUAUUUAUGAACAUCUGACAGUGUAUGAAGAUCUAGAAUCUUCUCACAUUCCAGAGUUGAAGAGACUCAUGUCUUUUGUAAAUAAAAUACACACAGUAAUAUAUCACUGACUUAUAUUGUACGCUGUACAUUCUGUAGACUCAUUCUGGCAAUGAAUUACACUUAUGCUUUGGAAAUAAUUCCUCCACCUAGCAUUUGUGAAAUUCCUUUGGAUGACCUACAAAUGAUGAAAGCGUUUGCGCACUCAGGCAAGAAAAGGAAGUAGUACACAGGCUUCUUUGACAUGCAAGGACCUCAGAAAUGUGCCUGUUUGAAGGGGACGGGCUGGAAAAACCUGAAUGCACACCCACGGGAAUGCACCAACCCACAGCCGAAGAUGAAAUUAGACAAGUUUUUUGGUUCUGUUUUGUGAGUGAAAGAGGGCCACUGCCCUGAAGACUGGCUCUGUCAACAGCGAAGACAACACGAAGACAGCUCCAUCUCAAUUCAAGACAUUGAAAAAGGAGUAUAUAUCUUUUUGUGGCUUAUUUGGAGCACAUUUUGAAGGGUGAAAAAGAAGACAGCACAGAACCGUGUGAGGCCGGAGCUGGGACGCUGGCCAUGGAGGAGGAUUAUAUGAAGCAGGGCUACCCCGAUGUCGUUAGGCAGCAGCACACGAGCAACGUGGCCGCGAGCCAGUCUGCUGAUAAGAAGCGCUCAGAUUCCGGGCCCAACUGCUGCAUGCAGUGCUGCAUGAAGACCAAGAACUGCCUGAUGAGCCCAGAGUGUGGUCGCGCUCUCAGCAUCGCCAAUGUAAUCGCCAUGUGUGGCAUGUGCAUCCGCAUGUGGACAUAGAUUUCUGCUCAUUGAUGAAUCCAGACAGUCUUCUGGCGGCUGCCGCCCAGAACUUAGAACAAACGGAGACAUCACGGUUAUGGAAUUUUCCUGGCUAUACCAGCUCAGUAACAUACCCUUAGACUAAGCCCCACCCUUAUCAUAACUAGCAUCCAAAAAAAA